rnacentral:misc_RNA from 1 species
AACCGUCAUCCCUGCCGACUCUCUGUGAAGGGGGGGAGGAGCUGCUCAACGACUCUCCGACGUGUUGCACAAGGGCCGUCUGCCGCCCCGCCUUCCCCUUUUCUCCCGUCGCGUCCUCCUUCCGCCUCUUUCCUGAACCCUGCCGUCAGCCAGAACACAAGAGAGAAGUAGCGGUGUCGCGGCACAUCUGCAACGUGCAGUGCGCAUCACUAAUACACAUCCAUCAAGCAGUGUCCAUAAUGGAGUGGAAGAGCAAGAUGUCAAGCACACUAGAGAACUGCCUGGUGCAGGGCGGCCGCUUCCGCGUCGGCCGCCGCAUCGGCGGCGGCUCCUUCGGCGAGAUCUUCCUGGGAGUGGACACCCAAACCGGUGAAGCGGUGGCCAUUAAGGUGGAGCGCUCAAAGGCGGUCCAUCCGCAGCUGUUUUCAGAAUCGCGGUACUACACCCUUCUGAGCCAAGGCCGUGGCGCGGCUUACAUGCCAACCAUCUUCGGAUACUCCUCCGAGUGCGAGUUCAACGUGAUGGCGAUGGAGCUGAUGGGCUUCUCACUGGAAGACCUGCAUGAAAAGUGCGGCAACCGCUUUUCGCUCAAGACGACGCUGAUGCUGGCGGACCAGAUUCUGUGGCUCAUCGAGCUCGUGCACUCUCACAGCAUUCUGCACCGCGACAUCAAGCCCGACAACUUCAUCAUGGGGCGUGGGAAAAAGGCGCACCACGUGCACAUCAUCGACUUUGGGCUGGCGAAGAAGUAUCGUGACUCGCAGACAAAUAUGCACAUCCCAUACAAGGAAGGCAAGAGCCUGACAGGCACGGCCCGCUACUGUAGUAUCAACACACACCUCGGCGCUGAGCAGAGUCGCCGUGACGACAUGGAGGGCAUCGCCUACCUCCUCAUCUACUUCCUUCGGGGAUCGCUGCCAUGGCAGGGCUUGAAGACGGCAACGAAGGAGCAGAAGUACGGCUUAAUCGCGCACGUGAAGAUGAGCACCUCUGUCGAGUCGCUCUGCAAAGGGCUUCCCAUCGAGUUCGCAUCAUUCCUGAAUUACUCGCGUGCGCUGCGCUUCGAGGACCGCCCUGACUACGGCUAUCUCCGUUCUAUGUUUCGCCGACUCUUCGAGCGAGAGGGCUACCAGGAAGACUAUGUCUAUGAUUGGACGGUGCGCAGCAUGUAUGAGACGCUCACGGCGCGACAGCGCAAGAAUGCAGCGAAGCGCGGAAAGAAACAGAAGUAGUGUGCAUGUGCCUGCGUGUAUGUCUGUGUUCGUUAAUGGAUAGGCUUGUUAGUGAAUAGGCGAAGUGACCCAGGGAGAGUGAUAUGCCGACGUUAUCGAUAUCUUCUUUUGUAGCGAAAAAGAGGGAGGUAUCUUAUAUGGGUGUACACGCGUGUGUUGUUCUACGGAAUCAUCAGUGUAGAUCAUAUACGCCACCACCUCCGUUCCCUCUCUGCUCUCUCUCGCUCAUGCAUAG